rnacentral:tRNA from 1 species
AGAAACUUAAGUUAUUAAAACUAGAGGCCUUCAAAGCCCCCAAAAAAGAUCGCACUUUAGUUUCUG